GAGCGAGAAGCAAAUAUUGCAAUCAGUUUCGACCUGAUCCUAGAUAAUUAGUUAUCCACGCUUU
rnacentral:tRNA from 1 species